GACGAACGCUGGCGGCGUGCUUAACACAUGCAAGUCGAACGGAAAGACCCUGCUUUUGUGGGGUGCUCGAGUGGCGAACGGGGGAGUAACACGUGAGUAACAUGCCCUUGACUGAGUGAUAACUUCAGGGAACUGCGGCUAAUACCGCGUAGGAGCUCCUGCUGCAUGGUGGGGGUUGGAGAGAUUCGGCGGUUGGAGAUGGACUCGCGGCUUCUCGGCUUGUUGGUGGGGUAGUGGCUUACCAAGGCUGUGACGGGUAGCCGGCCUGAGAGGGUGAACGGCCACAAGGGGACUGAGAGACGGCGCAGACGCGUACGGGAGGCAGUAGGGGGGAAUAUUGCACAACGGGCGGAAGCGUGAGGCAGCAGCGCCGCGUGCGGGAUGACGGCUUACGGGUUGUAAACCGAUUUCGCCUGAGACGUAGCGUGAGUGACGGUAAUGGGUAAAGAAGCACCGGCUAACUACGUG
rnacentral:rRNA from 1 species